GCCCAAGUCCAUAUAUACCCCACACAGAAAUCCCAUACUUUUGAUGUGGGACAUAAGUUUUUCUUGCAAUGGAUUAUAACAAUACCCCACGCUUGGAGAACCAAUAUCUUCAUCAGUCACGGUCACGUUGAUCACGGCUAGAACUAUACACAUUGGACCACCGACCCUUACAAAUUGGGUCUAGGCCACCACUACGUGAGCCACCACUCUAUGGGCCACCACUCUGAGUGUUAGGUCUCGCAAGAUGGAGCCAGCUCUAAUACCAUUGAUACGAACU
rnacentral:misc_RNA from 1 species